GACGAACGCUGGCGGCGUGCUUAACACAUGCAAGUCGAACGGAAAGGCCCUGCUUUUGUGGGGUGCUCGAGUGGCGAACGGGUGGGUAACACGUGAGUAACCUGCCCUUGACUUUGGGAUAACUUCAGGAAACUGGGGCUAAUACCGGAUAGGAGCUCCUGCUGCAUGGUGGGGGUUGGAAAGUUUCGGCGGUUGGGGAUGGACUCGCGGCUUAUCAGCUUGUUGGUGGGGUAGUGGCUUACCAAGGCUUUGACGGGUAGCCGGCCUGAGAGGGUGACCGGCCACAUUGGGACUGAGAUACGGCCCAGACUCCUACGGGAGGCAACAGUGGGGAAUAUUGCACAAUGGGCGGAAGCCUGAUGCAGCAACGCCGCGUGCGGGAUGACGGCCUUCGGGUUGUAAACCGCUUUCGCCUGUGACGAAGCGUGAGUGACGGUAAUGGGGAAAGAAGCACCGGCUAACUACGU
rnacentral:rRNA from 1 species